rnacentral:rRNA from 1 species
AUUGAACGCUGGCGGCAUGCCUUACACAUGCAAGUCGAACGGCAGCACGGGAGCAAUCCUGGUGGCGAGUGGCGAACGGGUGAGUAAUAUAUCGGAACGUGCCCAGUCGUGGGGGAUAACGUAGCGAAAGCUACGCUAAUACCGCAUACGAUCUAAGGAUGAAAGCGGGGGAUCGCAAGACCUCGCGCGAUUGGAGCGGCCGAUAUCAGAUUAGCUAGUUGGUGAGGUAAAGGCUCACCAAGGCGACGAUCUGUAGCUGGUCUGAGAGGACGACCAGCCACACUGGGACUGAGACACGGCCCAGACUCCUACGGGAGGCAGCAGUGGGGAAUUUUUGGACAAUGGGCGCAAGCCUGAUCCAGCAAUGCCGCGUGCAGGAUGAAGGCCU